AAAUUUUUAUGUUUUAAAAAAUUUAUUAUAAAUUUAUUUUACAUAUAAAUUUUAGUAUAUAAUUUUAAUUAUUUUAAUAAUAAUUAUUAAAAAUUAUAGUAAUUAAAAUUAAAAAUUUAAGAAAUUAAGAUUUAGUAAUAUAUAAAUUAAUAACUAAUUUUGUGCCAGCAGUUGCGGUUACACAAAAAUUAAAUUAAAUUAUUUCAGUAUUUAAUUAAUAAGAUAUAAUUAAAAUAAAUAUUAAAUUAUUAGGUAAAAUUUUAAUUUAAUUAAAUUUUAAGUUAAUUUUAUGAUUUGGGAAAUUUAAAAAUAAACUAGGAUUAGAUACCCUAUUAUUAAAAAUUUAAUUUGUAAUACUAAAAUAGUAGAUAAAAAAUAUUGAAACUUAAAUAAUAUGGCGGUAUUUUAGUUCAUUUAGAGGAAUCUGUCUAAUAAUUGAUAGUCCACGAAUAAAUUUACUUAAUUUAGGAUUUUAUAUAUCGUUGUUAAAAAAAUAUUUUAUAAUAAAAAUAAUAUUUAAAAAUUUUUAAAAUAAAUUAAUUCAGAUCAAGAUAUAGAUUAUAAUUAAGAAUAUGAUGGAUUACAAUAAAUUAAUUUAAAUGAAAAAUUGAUUUUAAGAUUAAUUUGAAGGUGGAUUUAAAUGUAAUUUUAAUUAGUUUAUUAAAAUGAUUAAAAAUUAAAGUAUGUACAUAUUGCCCGUCACUUUCAUUUAAAAAUUGAAAUAAGUCGUAACAAAGUAGAGGUACUGGAAAGUGUUUCUAGAAUGAA
rnacentral:ncRNA from 1 species